rnacentral:rRNA from 1 species
GUCCACGCCGUAACGAUGGAUACUAGCUGUUGGGAGUAAUCUCAGUGGCUAAGCGAAGUGAUAAGUAUCCCACCUGGGAGUACGUUCGCAAGAAUGAAACUCAAAGGAAUUGACGGGCCCGCACAAGCGGUGGAGCAUGUGGUUUAAUUCGAUGAUACGCGAGGAACCUUACCAAGGCUUAAAUGUAGAUUGACCGAUUUGGAAACAGAUCUUUCGCAAGACAAUUUACAAGGUGCUGCAUGGUUGUCGU